AUUGAACGCUGGCGGCAUGAUUUACACAUGCAAGUCGAACGGUAACAGGCCGCAAGGUGCUGACGAGUGGCGAACGGGUGAGUAAUGCAUCGGUACGUGCCCAGUCGUGGGGGAUAACUACUCGAAAGAGUAGCUAAUACCGCAUACGAUCUAUGGAUGAAAGCGGGGGACCGUAAGGCCUCGCGCGAUUGGAGCGGCCGAUGUCAGAUUAGGUAGUUGGUGGGGUAAAGGCUCACCAAGCCAACGAUCUGUAGCUGGUCUGAGAGGACGACCAGCCACACUGGGACUGAGACACGGCCCAGACUCCUACGGGAGGCAGCAGUGGGGAAUUUUGGACAAUGGGCGCAAGCCUGAUCCAGCAAUGCCGCGUGCAGGAAGAAGGCCUUCGGGUUGUAAACUGCUUUUGUACGGAACGAAACGGCUCUGGUUAAUACCCGGGGCUAAUGACGGUACCGUAAGAAUAAGCACCGGCUAACUACGUG
rnacentral:rRNA from 1 species